CUAUAUCCUGUCCUUGUCCAUUGACCCAGCUGAAUUUUACUUUUAAUGCAUUUUCCUUCCACCUCCUACCUUCUUUGGUUUGUGAAUGGAGAGGUAGCCGUGACUUCCUGUGGCUGAGCCACUUCCUGUGGCUGAGGGAAGCAGCAGGCUGUCUGGUUACCUGAGCCAGGUCUGGGGCCAGGCAGCAUGCAUUCUAGUCCUGCCUGGGACACUCACUGGCCUCAAGAUCUUGGGCAAAACAGCUGACUGCUUUGCACCUCAGUUUCCUCAUCUGUAAGGUCCAGGACUACCCACUUCCCUUGGAAUGGUGUUGCCAUCACUGUUCUGGCACCGGAGGUAAGGAUUCUACAUCGUUAGGAGAAAAGAAAAAGGAGAAUUUGGGCUUGCACUGAGAGGAUUACCUUUGGUGGUCUGGAAGUGGUGGCUGCACAGGGAGCAUGGCUGGGAGGCCUCAGGAAACUGACAAUCAUCAGUAGAAGAUGAAGAGGAAGGAGGCGCAUCUUACAUGGCCAGAGAAGGAGGAAGAAUAAGAAGGGAUUCUCCAGCUGGAGCCCUAUAAAUUGGACUGACAAAAGACAGAUUAGCAAGAGAAAUGCAAGCAGCAGUUUAUUAACAUGUGCAUCAUGAUUACACAUGGAAGUACCCAGAGAAUUAAAGAUUCAAGAUGUACCUACUUCUUCCGGGGACAACAUUCAUGAUUCUUAAAGAUUUCACAAGUGUACCUUCUAAGGGUAAGUGGCUGGAAGUAGUAAGAGGUCAAUGCCAAGUGAAAUCCUCUGGCGUUUUCUUCUGACAACCAGGAGUCUGCAAAGUGAGUUUGCUGGGAGCGUCCAGUUUUUUCAGCUUAACGUUAGGUGUACUUUCUGUCUUCGGCACAAAUUGUUUCCAAAUGCCUGUGGGUUGCAAUAUGAUUUUCCCAUCUUGAAAAUCUAUUAAAAAGGAAGAGAUUCUUCACUUCUCCCCACCCCACCUCCAGGCACUGCAGAUGGCGAUUAACACCCUACACAGCCCCUCCCCAUAGCAUCAUCGAUUUUCUGCCUGCAUUGCAUCUACUUCACAGUUCGAGACAUGCCAAAUCACACACGUUCUAAGUACUUGUUGCUAGCAACAAAUCUCUGUUCCUCAGUGGCCAAGCAGACUAUAUUUGGAAUGUCAGAGCACCUAGCCCUUCCCUGGCCCACUUCCUUUAGCUCAGAAGUCUCCAAGCCUGAAAGUAACCUCACCCGUGUUUCCUUGAGUUCUGCUUGUUGAAGCAACUCUUUGGAUUAACUCCGCAAAACACAAAGUGACAGCAAAACAGAGAAACAAUCAGAUUCUUUUCCAUGAACUCCUUUCUUUUCUAUAAAAGUGUUAUUAAUCCCUAUCUUAUGGGACAAUUGUGAAUGUAUUUAAUGAGCUCAUCAAAAUAUACAUACACAUACAUAUAUAUAUAGAGGGGGGGGGUUGGGGGGAGAGAGAGAGAGAGAAAGAGAGAGAGUCUCACUCUGUGGCCCAGGCUGGAGUGCAGUGGCACAAUCUCAGCUCGCUGCAACUUCCAUCGUCUCCCAGGUUCAAGCAAUUCUCCUGCCUCAGCCUCCCAAGUAGCUGGGAUUACAGGCGCUCGCCACCAAGCCCAGCUAAUUUUUUUUAUUUUUCUUUUUGGAGACAGAGUCUCGCUCUGUUGCCCAGGCUGGAGUGCAAUGGGGCAAUCUCGGCUCACUGCAACCUCCGCCUCCCGGGUUCAAGCAUCCUGCCUCAGUCUCCCUAGUAGCUGGGACUACAGGCAAAUGCUGCCAAGCCAGGCUAAAUUUUUUUGUAUUUUAAUAGAGAUGGGUUUCACCGUGUUGCCCAGGCUGGUCUCGAACUCCUGAGCUCAGACAAUCCACCCGCCUCGGCCUCCCAAAGUGCUAAGAUUACAGGCAUGAGCCACUGUGCCCGGCCUAAUUUUUGUAUUUUUACUAGAGACCGGGUUUUGCCAUGUUGGUCAGGCUGGUCUCACACUCCUGACAUCAGGUAAUCUGCCGACCUCAGCCUCCCAAAGUGCUGGGAUUACAGGCAUGAGCCACCUUGCCCAGCCUGAGCUCAUCAAAAUAUUAAAACUAGUGCAUUUUUAAUGGCAGUGUAGACCUAGCACAUGGCUGGCAGUGUAUAACUGCCAGGUGUUUCUCCUCUUUUCCUCACCCUUUCUCUCUCUUUUUUAUUGAGGUGAAAUUCACAUAACAUAAAUCAAAUCAUUUUAAAGUGAACAAUUAAAUGGCAUUUUAUACUUUCCCAGUGUUGUGCAAUCACAUCUCUAUCUAGUUCCUAAAUAUUUCCAUCCCCCCCAGAAGGAAACGCAUCCCCUUUAACCACUCUCCAUUUCCCUCUCCUCAGCCUUCACAAACAACAAUCGACUUCCUGUCUCCAUGCAUUUACCUGUUCUGGUUAUUUUAUAUAAAUGGAUUUAUAUAAUAUGUGUCUGGUUCCAUUCACUUAAUGUAAUAUUUUUGAGGUUUUUUCACCUUGUAUCACGUUUUGGUAAUUCAUUUCUUGUUAUAUCUGAACAAUAUUCUGUUGUAUGAAUAUACCACAGUUUGUUGUCUAUUUAUCUAUGGAUGAACAUUUGGGCUGUUUCACCUUUUGAUGUUUGUAAAUUGUAAGUAGUGCUGCCAUGAACACAUAUGUACAUGUAUUGGUUUGAGUGCCUGUUUUCAAUACUUUUGAGUAUAUAACUAGGAGUGAAAUUGGUAUUCACCCUUUUUUUUCUGUUACUUCUCUUAAUGAUCUCAUGUCUGCGUGAUCCUUAAUGAUGCCCCGUUUUAAAAUUCCUGACAUUGUUUGUCACUAGGUCAUUUGUCUCUAGUUUAACUGAUCAAUCUUGACAGCAAUUUUUCACUUUUAUUAGUAUUUUAAGGAAUCAGCCUGUGGUUUUGAGAAUCUUGUCUGCUUAUACAUUUGAAUUAGUUACAAUGAUUGCUUUCUCUUUGGAUUUGUUUCGCCACUCCUUUGGUAAUGUCCGGAGAGAGCUUCUUAACUGACACGAACGGGGCUCCAUUGGUAUGUCCUGGGAUCCCUCGUCAGGCCUGUGCACUCCCAGACCUCCAAGGGCCGGGACCUGCAUUUUUGUCCGAGGGCCGUCCCCAGGCUGCCUGAACUUACUUAGCCUAUGGGCAUAGUGGGCUGGAGGUGCCUGGGAACUAACAGCGCCAGAGGAAACCUUUAACUAAAGACCAAAGGCUGUCAGGGUGUAAAUACUCUUCUUGCCCUUCGGCUGAGAUAAUUCUGAAGCAUAUUUUACUUAGUUUUCUAGAGUUCUUCUUGGUAAUUAAUGCAAUCAAGCUCCAGUCUCCUGCUGUGAUGACUGCCUUCAUAACAUACCCUUUAUUAUUUAUCUGUCUUCCCUCCGUAUCUCACUUCCUACCUGUUCCUACUUGUCUAUUUCCCUGUGAGGGACUGAACUGUGAGCCCCUCAGAUUCAACGUACGAAGCCCCUAAAUUUAUUUGUUCGAGUCUGAAGCCAAAGUACCUAAGAAUGUGGCUUUAUUUGGAGAUACAGCUUUAAAGAGGUGAUGAAAUUAAAAUGAGAUCAUGAAGGUACACUCUAAUCCACUAUGACUGGUGUCCUUAUAAGAAGAGAUUAGGACACAACACACACAGAGGGAAUCCCAUGGGCAGACACAGGGAGAACACAGACAUCUGCAAGCCAAGGGCAGGAGCCUCAGAAGAAACCAAACCUGCUGACACCUUGAUCUCAGAUUUCAGCCUCCAGAAAUGUGAGAAAAUAAAUUUCUGUUGUUUAAGCCACCUAGCCUGUGAUACUUUGUUACGGCAGCCCAAGCUAAUUAAUUCACUCCCAAUUAAACUGUUCGCCCUUGAAUCCUUGGCUCAAGGUCUGCUUCUGGGGAACCCAAGCUAAGAUUCAAAGUUUAUUGAUUUUUUUCAGUGUUUCUUCUUUUCUAAAUAUGCAUUUGAAGCUAUAAAUUCCCUUCUAAGCAAGGCUAACACUCUGAUAUGUAGUAUUUGAUAGUGUAAUGAUAAGUAUUUGUAGUAUAAUGGUAAGCUUUGAUAUGUAGUAUUAUUAUUUAAUUUGAAGUAUUUUCCAUUGCAAUUUCUAUUUAACCUGUGGCUUAUUAUAACUCAGAAGGGUUUCACAUUGGCCUUAUAGAUGCUCCAGCCAUGUGUGUCACUUCUGCUCACAACUCAAAUGACCAGAACUAGCCACAGGGCUCCACCCAGCCACAGGGGAGCAGAAAGCACAACCUACCGUGUUGGUGUUGCAUAGAACAUCUUUCUACAUGUUUCCUCUUGCGUAGGUGCUAGAAUUGCUUUAGAAUAGGCUAUAAACCUGGGGGUGGAGUCACUAAGUCAUCUUAUUAAACCCAUCUUCCAUUUUAUUAGAAAUUGCCAAGCUGCUUUCCAAAGCGGUUGUGUGAGUACACAUAUUGCCCAUGCACAUUGUUCUGCACCUUCACAACCCUUCAUAUUAUCAGACUUUUAAAAUUUUUUGGCAAUUUUGGAGGCAUGAAACAGUAUCCUUUUGCAUUUUAAUUUUCAUUUCCCUGACUAAUAGGCAGGUCAGGUUUGUUUGUUUGUUGUUGUUGUUGUUUGAGACGGAGUCUUGCUCUGUCACCAGGCUGGAGUGCAUUGGCACGAUCACAGCUCACUGCAACCUCCACCUCCUGGUUUCAAGCAAUUCUCCUGCCUCAGCCUCCCAAGUAGCUGGGACUACCGGCACCUGCCACCACGCCCAGCUAAUUUUUGUAUUUUUAGUAGAGACGGGGUUUCACCAUGUUGGCCACGAUGGUCUCUUGACCUCAUGAUCCACCCA
rnacentral:lncRNA from 10 species